UGUACACAGACACCACAUGGCCA
rnacentral:piRNA from 1 species